AUUGAACGCUGGCGGCAUGCCUAACACAUGCAAGUCGAACGAGCGGCGGACGGGUGAGUAAUGUAUGGGAAUCUGCCUGAUGGCGGGGGAUAACUACUGGAAACGGUCGCUAAUACCGCAUACCAUCAGAUCAGCCCAUAUGGGAUUAGCUGGUGGGUAAGGUAACGGCUUACCUAGGCGACGAUCCCUAGCUGGUCUGAGAGGAUGACCAGCCACACUGGGACUGAGACACGGCCCAGACUCCUACGGGAGGCAGCAGUGGGGAAUAUUGCACAAUGGGGGCAAGCCUGAUGCAGCCAUGCCGCGUGUAUGAAGAAGGCCUUCGGGUUGUAAAGUACUUUCAGUCGGGAGGCGUUACCGACAGAAGAAGCACCGGCUAACUCCGUGCCAGCAGCCGCGGUAAUAC
rnacentral:rRNA from 1 species